rnacentral:lncRNA from 1 species
ACAAAUUCACAGUCAUAAGAAUCCAUUAUAAAGCAAUUCAAGGCUAUAAACUACACACAAAAAUUACAAGAUAAGCUAUAAGAUAACGAUAUUCUUAUAUCUAUUACCAAUUACAAACAUAUCAAUAAUGUAUCAACUUUUUUGGCAGUAGUCACUAUAUAUGUGACAUAUUCAUCCUCAUACUUAGCUCACUAUACUAUAUCAUAAUGAAAGAAAGUAAAUUAUACAUUAAUAUCAUCAUAGUUUUAAAUUGUAGUCUGCAAUAUGUUUAUAAUCAAGGAGAAGAUUUUGUUGAGGAAGUAGGGGGUGAGCCAGGGCUAUGAGGAGGUGGGAAUAGUGGAGGAAAAGGAAAUGGUAAAAUUGAUUUUGGUGGUGGCGGCGGCGGUGGUGAUGGAGUGAUACCUGGUACUACUAUUGGUGGAAAGAGAGAGAAAGGUGGUGGACUUGAUGGUGGAGGCUGAAAUGGAUUUGGAAGGAGUGGUGGAGGACUUGAAGGAGGAGGUUGAAAUGGAUUAGGUAGAAAUGGUGGUGGACUUGGUGGUUGAAAUGGAUUUGGAAUCAAAGGUGGACUAGGUGGUUGAAAAGGAUUAGGAAUCAAUGGUGGUGGUGUAAAAGGGUUAGGAAUCAAAGGUGGUUGAAAUGGAUUAGGAACCAAAGGUGGAUUCAAAGGGUUUGGAGGAAAAAAGAAAAAAUCUUCAACUUCAUUUUUCUUAGGGUUUUGAGUACUAUGCUUAUUUUGGUCACAAAAUUUUGGCUUUUUUAUUGGCUUGAAUGAGAAAAAUCCAGCUGAAAAAAUGUGUUCAUCUUGCAACUUUUUCUUUAGGGUUAGUGAAAAUGAAGUGGAAGUUGAAGCAAUAGCACAAUUUGGUUCAUUGCUACUUAACAACUUGAAGUUACACCCUUUGAUUCUCUUCACAUUUUUUCUCACUAAGAAAGGUAGCUUUACUUUGAAUUCUCCUUGUUCAUUAGUCUUCACUUCUUUGUAGAAUCUUUGUUUUGUUUUUC